rnacentral:rRNA from 1 species
UACAGAGGGUGCAAGCGUUGUUCGGAAUUAUUGGGCGUAAAGCGCGUGUAGGCGGGAUGGCAAGUCGGGUGUGAAAGCCCUCAGCUCAACUGAGGAAGUGCGCCCGAAACUACUGUUCUUGAGUGUCGGAGAGGGUGGCGGAAUUCCCGGUGUAGAGGUGAAAUUCGUAGAUAUCGGGAGGAACACCAGAGGCGAAGGCGGCCACCUGGACGAACACUGACGCUGAGACGCGAAAGCGUGGGGAGCAAACAGG